UAAAUACAGUUGAUUGAGAAGGACUUUAUGGCAGUGACAACUUGAAGUGGAUCUUCAGAAAUGAAAGAAAAUUCGGUUAUUUCUUUAAUGAAACACCCCACUCACAAAUCGUGAACGAGGACCAGCGUACAUGCGGACUAUUUGCUGCUCUUCUUAUGACAAGUGGAGUUGGAUAACUGGAUGUGGUUAUCCUGCAGUGUUAUUUUAGCACUAUUGCUCCUUGACUAAGUUGCUAUACCAGGAUUUAGAAGAGGACACUAAAGUGAAUGGAAGAUAAUGCCAUCAGACCCUGUGUCAAACCUUCAUUUUAUCCACUGAAAUCAUGGGCACUAGUGAGCAAUGCAGCACAUUGUAGAACGCCUGCGAAGUUGACCUUUACCAACUAGACUUUGAUUUAAACUAUUUUGAAGGUUUGUUUUCUAGGUGUUGACAUUUAGUAGAGUUGUAUUUUUGCAUUCCUACAUUCCUUGCCAUGAUCGAGUGACCCAUUGCCAGAAAGUGCGGUUUAGGAGGUCACUACCUGCACCUGAACUAUGAUAUAAAAGUUGAUCUUCUCAUUUUCCAAGACUCUGAAUAAAUACCAAAAUGAAUAGUGAGAGCUCCAAGACCAAGUGACAACAACACUGGAGAAAUCUGUC